AUUGUUUCUCAGCCUUUUGGUUAAGAUCAAGUGUAGUAUCUGUUUUUAUCAGUUUAAUAUCUGAUAUGUUCUCUAAAUGAGGACAUUUUUUAUCAGUUUAAUAUCUGAUAUGUUCUCUAAAUGAGGACAUUAUAUUUAGGGGCGGCACAGUGGUAUAGCGGUUAGCACGGUCGCCUCACAGUAA